GGGACCUGGUCCGGGCUGAGGUCCUGGCGGGUGAGCAGGAUCUUCGCCGUGCGGCGCGGAGGGUGACAGUGGAGAAGGUGACCAGAAGCCAGAAGGAGCCUAUGUGAAAGCACGCAAUGAAUACUUACAGCAUCCACAUGUCUGCUUCCACCAGGACCCAGGACUUCUCCAUGAAGACUUUCUAGACUUGUCUAUUCAAAGCCAACAGUGAACUUCUCCUGAAAAAGGGUUAUAUCAAUUUUAACUUUGUAUCCAAAGCAUGAGAACAAUGUGCUCCUGGAACAUAGUUUCUUCUGAGAUUUGUUGAUGAAUAAAGGAAAAGAAAUAACUGGAUAGGAAAGCUGUUCAUUUGUUUACCUUGUCAUCUUAACAGUCUGUUCAAAUAAUUUUGCCCAAUAUUUUUCAUUAUAUAACAACUAACCCUUAAGGACGUCUCCCAAGCCCAAACUAUCUCAAAAUAAUUAAAAUCGGCAAUUGAAUUUAGGGAUGAGCUUAGUGUAGAAAUAGCCCCAGUAGUUGUUUCUAUUUCCUUGAACUCCACAAUGAGCUGUUUCAUGCUUCUUCACAUUUGAGAUAAUACUUCAAAUUUAUACCCACAAUGAAAUAAAGGCUUAAAAAUAAUCUGAUAUGACUUUUGAACCAUAAAAUUACUAG